rnacentral:misc_RNA from 1 species
AUACUAUGAAGAGGAGGAGGGUUGAAAUAGCUUGUCUUCAAGAAUAAGUGGAUCAGGCAAAAGGCGAAAGAGAUUGGCAACAUAGGUUAUAAUUGUGGUACUUUAUAGUUGAGAAGAGACGUAAGAAAAGGUGGUGGAAGUGAAGAGAAUCGGUGAUAUGAUUAUCUCAUUGAAAUUAAUACUGAGAAAUGAGACUAUUAUCAUAUGCACUUUAAGUAGGUCUAGGUAAGGAUGCG